UGGCAUCGUGUCACCCGUUGGAACAACCAUACUACUUCCACCACGGUCUUCGGGGUAGUCAUUCUCGACUUUGCUCUCUUAGCCAGACAUUAGCCUAAAAUCAAAAGAUCUCGGACAAGAAAAGAGUGAAGGAUGAAGUGUGUUUAUAUGACGAAACCAUCAAGAAAAUAAUCACUAUUAUUUUUAUCCCCACGGUGGGCGCCAAACUAUUUACCAUGAAAAUGGUAACAACAAUAAAAUUUGUAAAAGGGAUUCUAAAAAUACGUGAUCUAUUAUCAAGCUAGUUUCGAGGGAGUUUAUGUUGAGAUUAUAUAGUAUAAUGGUAAAACAUGAGUUAAAUGGAGGUAGUAAGCAAAUCGAAGGGGCCUAUUGCUCGAGCGUAGAGAAGA
rnacentral:lncRNA from 1 species